rnacentral:lncRNA from 1 species
AUGGUGUGUGUAUGGUGUGCGUGUGUGGUGUGUGUGGUGUGUGUGGAGGUGUGUGUAUGGUGUGUGUGGUGUGUGUGGGUGUGUGUGUAUGGUGUGUGUGUGCUGUGUGUGUGUGCUGUGUGUGAGGGUGUGUGUGUGUGGGUGUGUGUGUUUGUAUGUGUGUGUGUGUAGUGUGUGUGGGGUGUGUGUUUGUAUGGUGUGUGUGGUGUGUGUGUUGUGUGUGUGAGUGUGUUUGUAUGAUGUGUGUGUGGUGUGUGUGUGGGAUGUGGGUGUGUGUGGUGUGUGUGUGGUGUAUGUGGUGUGUAUGG